rnacentral:lncRNA from 12 species
AGGGAGAGGCAAGAAUCUCAAGCAGAGUUUGUGCUAAACACAAAGCUGAUGCCUGGCUUAGUCUUAGGACACUGAGAUCAUGAUCUCAGCCAAAACCAAGAAUUAGACGUUCAACUGACUGAACCACCCAACUUAUUCUAAUACAAUCUAAGGUGAGGGAUAAAAUCUAAGCUUGGUAUGACAAGGCAAAUGAACCUUUUAAAUAAACCUCAAAAAUAAGCCAAUCGUCUUUCCUUCCAAGCCACAAGUAAAGCUGAAGUCACUACCUGGAGCACCUUCCUGAAAAGGAUUAGGGAUUGGGGUGAUGGUGAAAAAUUCUGGACCUUGAUGGCAGAUUCACUAUCAAAAAGGAGAAGAGAGGAUAUGGAGAAAUUGCACAGGUAAACUCUACUGAGCCAUUCAGUAAAUUCUACUGA